GACGAACCGUACGAACGUUAUUCGGAAUCACUGGGCUUAAAGCGCGUGUAGGCGGGACGGCACGUCGGUCGCUGAAAUCCCCCCGGCUUAACCGGGGAACGGGCGCCGAUACGACCGCCCUGGAGGGACGUAGGGGGACCUGGAACUUCCGGUGGAGCGGUGAAAUGCGUUGAGAUCGGAAGGAACGCCCCGUGGCGAAAGCGAGGUCCUGGACGUCUUCUGACGCUGAGAUGCGAAAAGCCGGGAGGGCGAACGGG
rnacentral:rRNA from 1 species